UGCUGCAUUCCGUUUACCUCGGAAGUCGGAACUGGGAAUGAAAACCAGGAUCAACCGGCUGAUGCCCACGUGUCCACAGAUGGGAGAGUUCCCAAGUGUGAUAAACACUUUCUCGCUACAGCUUCCACGCGGUUGAUGCUCGGGGCAGCCAUCUUGGAUUCUGAGGUCGGGGUUGGUGAGGUUGUCCCGACUUUCCGAGUCGGAAACACGACUUAGGCGUUCAAGUUGAAAUUUCUGACUGGGAACUGAGAAAUCCCGACUUCCCGUGUCAAAUGAAACGCUGCAUAACUCCAUAUUGCCCAGCCCUGGUUUGUGUGUUUUUGUCGCCCUCUGCGGCGACUCUCAGGGAUGUCUUACCUGCUGCUGUUGGGUUUAUUUACAGGGGGGCAGCACACAGCAGGAGGAAGCCUAAAGACCUCCUCCUCAGCUCCUCCUCCCAUGUCUUCUUCUGAUGGACCAGCUUUAAAGGCUGCAGAGAGAGUGAUGGAGGAGAAGGAGCAGAAGAAGAGAGAAGACGGGUGGAGUCACAUUUAAACGUUUCUCCGCAGCUGCUUUUCUCUGGAUCAAACUGGAUCUUUUUGAAACUUUAACGUCUCAUCAGUAAAUAAUCACAAGUGUU